UAUCAAGAUUAAGCUAUAAUUCUGUUUUUAAAAGAAAUUAACUUAUCUGCACAUGUGCUUAUGAAUAUUAGUUAAAGUACAAGUUAUUUAGGGAUACUCUUAUUUCUAAGAAUAAGAAUGUGAAGAAUAUUGGAAAACUCAGUGAAUUCUCUACUGUUAAAUGCUGCACUCUUUUGUAUACUCUUUUUCUACUUUUGAUCUAUUUAUAUAUGUGUGUUUUUAAAAUAUGUACAUGUAAGUCUUCAGUUGGCUUUAAACAUUUAUCCCAAGUGCUUCGGUCAUUCAAUUUUUCAAUAAAUAUCUCUUGCAUUCUUAUGUUCAUGUAUCUACUGGAAGAUAGUGGUGUAAAAGAAGUAUAAAGCAAUCAUGUAUUCAUUCAAAAUAUAUUUAUUUAGCAACUACUAUGUGCCUUUUAUUAUUCCAGUUAUGGAGAGACUAAGAUGAAUAAAACAAAAUGUCUUUCUUGAAAGUAUUUAUUUUCUAAUCAAGGGAGACACCUAUCAGAUACUUAAAAUAACAAUACACACUCUGAAGGAGUCCUUCAGCUGAAUACUGAGCUCUUUAGUUAUGUAACAGUUCUCUCAGCUAGUGUUUUUCAAACUGUUACAUAUUAGAAUCACCUGGAAAGUUUUAAAAUAAUACAUGCUCAGGCUCUACCUUAUAUCAGUUACAUCCAAAUUUUAAGGGAUGAUAUAUAGGCAUCAGUAUUUUCAAACUCUCUAGAUGAUACCAAUAUUUACCCAACUUUGAGAAUCAGUCCCUAAACACUUUUUAUAAACAAGUAAAUACCAAGCUGGUGGCACAUUGGCUUUAUUAUUUCACUGGAAGAAAAUGCAGAUUAUAAAUGCUUUUCAUCUUAAUACAGGGUUAUCCAUAUUUCUGCUUUAGUGACUUAACACAAACUUGAGGCAGUUUUUCUUCCAUAUUUUGCUCUAAGAUUAUUUAAUAUCCAUUCAAGUGUAAAAAUGUACAGAGUAUCUGGGAUGUCAUAAACAUUGUUCAAUGACUUUUGAUUUAUCAAUGUAAUGUUGUACUCUAAAAUGACAGUGUUUCAUUUGAGAUUUUUUAUUAAAAACUUGAAUAGAAAAUGGCAACUACAUAUCUUUUGCCCAGAAACCUUAGCUAUAAGAUUAUAGGACCAAAUCAGAGCUUUUUCUAAGGUGUUUAUAUGCUAAAACUUCCUGUUUAAAGAUGUAUAAUAAUGUGAAUUCUAUGCAUAUUGAGAUAAAAAUUAUUGUGGGU
rnacentral:lncRNA from 1 species